GCUAGUCUGUUGGGGGUUAUUCUUUGUGAUUUGGGGAAAAAUGGAUAGAAUUUUUAAAUUUUGGAAAAUUAUAAUUUUCAUUGUUUUAAACUUAUUUUUAGUAAAAGCACAAUUUCCAUUUGAACGUCAUGAAGUUCUAGACAAUGUCAAAUACAGUUAUGGAAUUUUUGCUCCAGUUGGGUGGACAGUAGGUGCUUACACGUGGUACAUUUAUUCCUUGGGACUGAUUCUUGGAGCAAUUGUCCUGCUCUACUUCAGCAAAGGAUGGACUGGUGCACUAAGAACAGACAACUCAAACUACAUUAAAAGAUCAAUCGAAGGAAAUCACGAGUUCAAAGGAUUUGAAGAAACAAUUACAAACAAUGAAGACUACAAGCAGUUUUGGGCAGACAAAAUCAAGACGAUUGCGGAAAAGUUAAAGAAAAUUAAAUGAGAUUUUUUUG